rnacentral:rRNA from 1 species
AGUGAACGCUGGCGGCAGGCCUAACACAUGCAAGUCGAGCGGCAGCGCGGGGGCAACCCUGGCGGCGAGCGGCGGACGGGUGAGGAAUGCAUCGGAAUCUACCUCGUUGUGGGGGAUAACGUAGGGAAACUUACGCUAAUACCGCAUACGACCUACGGGUGAAAGUGGGGGACCUUCGGGCCUCACGCGAUGAGAUGAGCCGAUGCCGGAUUAGCUAGUUGGCGGGGUAAAGGCCCACCAAGGCGACGAUCCGUAGCUGGUCUGAGAGGAUGAUCAGCCACACUGGAACUGAGACACGGUCCAGACUCCUACGGGAGGCAGCAGUGGGGAAUAUUGGACAAUGGGCGCAAGCCUGAUCCAGCCAUGCCGCGUGUGUGAAGAAGGCCUCGGUGUAAG